AUACUGAUAAAAGGUGAAAUUAAUUUUUUAGUAUGUGGGGGGAUAAAAAAUGAAGUUUAAAUUGAAGCUAUUAAGAUAGAGGAAUGAACCAGGAUUAGAUACCCUGUUACACUUUAUUUAAAUGAUAAUUACCUGGGUACUAAGCAGUUAUUAUCUUGAAACUCAAAGGAUUUGGCGGUAACCUAGUCUAUUUAGAGGAACCUGUCCUGUAAUCGAUAGUCCACGCAAUAUCUUGCUUUACCUAGUAGAAAACAGUUUGUAUACCGUCAUUAUUAGAUAACUUUAAAAAAUCAUAGAGUUAUUGUAAUAGUUUAGCUAGUAAAUUAGAUCAAGGUGCAGCUUAUGGUAGAGUAGAGAUGGGUUACAAUAUAAUAGGCAUACACGGAGUAAUAAAUGAAUAUUUAUUAUGAAGGUGGAUUUAAGAGUAAGAAGAUUUUAAUAAGAUCUUUUGACUUUAGCUCUAGGUUAUGUACACAUCGCCCGUCGCUCUCGUUAAUUAAAGC
rnacentral:rRNA from 1 species